CCUACGGGUGGCAGCAGUGGGGGAUAUUGCACAAUGGGGGGAACCCCGAUGCAGCGACGCCGCGUGGGUGAAGGAGCGCCUCGGCGCGUAAAGCCCUAUCGGCAGGGAAGAAGGUGAAGGGUACUUGACAAAGAACCCCCGGUAAACAACGUGCCAGCAGCGGCGGUAAUACGUAGGGGGCAAGCGUUAUCCGGAUUUACUGGGUGUAAAGGGGGCGCAGACGGCAGUGCAAGCCAGGAGUGAAAGCCCGGGGCCCAACCCCGGGACUGCUCUUGGAACUGCGCGGCUGGAGUGCAGGAGGGGCAGGCGGAAUUCCUGGUGUAGCGGUGAAAUGCGUAGAUAUCAGGAGGAACACCGGUGGCGAAGGCGGCCUGCUGGACUGCGACUGACGUUGAGGCCCGAAAGCGUGGGGAGCAAACAGGAUUAGAUACCCCUGUAGUC
rnacentral:rRNA from 1 species